rnacentral:rRNA from 1 species
GAUGAACGCUAGCGGCAGGCCUAAUACAUGCAAGUCAAGGGGUAGCAAUACACCGGCGCACGGGUGAGUAACGCGUACAUGACCUGCCUUUAAGACCGGGAUAGCCCUGGGAAACUGGGAUUAAUACCGGAUGUGAUAAUAUGUAUAGAGAUAUAUUAUUAAAGUUGAGGCGCUUAGAGAUGGGUGUGCGUUUGAUUAGCUAGUUGGUAGGGUAACGGCCUACCAAGGCGACGAUCAAUAGGGGGCGUGAGAGCGUGACCCCCCACACGGGUACUGAGACACGGACCCGACUCCUACGGGAGGCAGCAGUAAGGAAUAUUGGUCAAUGGACGGAAGUCUGAACCAGCCAUCCCGCGUGCAGGAUGAAGGUCCUAUGGAUUGUAAACUGCUUUUAGCAGAGACGAAACGCCGACAUUUAUGUUGGUCUGACGGUAUCUGCGGAAUAAGCACCGGCUAACUCCGUG